UACGUAGGUGGCAAGCGUUGUCCGGAAUUAUUGGGCGUAAAGCGCGCGCAGGUGGUCCUUUAAGUCUGAUGUGAAAGCCCACGGCUCAACCGUGGAGGGUCAUUGGAAACUGGGGGACUUGGAGUGCAGAAGAGGAAAGUGGAAUUCCAAAGUGGUAGCGGUGAAAUGCGUAGAGAAUUGGGAAGAACACCAGUGGCGUAAGGGCGGACUAUCCUGGACGGUUUCUGACACUAAGGACAGCUGAAAGGCGUGGGGAGCAAACAGGAAUUAGAAACCCGGUGUACAGUCCG
rnacentral:rRNA from 1 species